AUACUUUCAAUUGAAUGAUUGAUUUACGUAUGCAUGAAUACAAACUCCUCUUCAGCCUUAGAUCACUGUGUUUGUUCGUACAAAAUGCAAGUGUGUGAAGUGAUCCAAUAGAACAGUACAUGCACUGUUCUAUUUAUAGUACAAACCUAACCCCUGUGGAAUCUUUGCUGACAUCACAGUUGUCACAUCUUUGCUGACGUCACCUAGACAAUGACAUCUAACAACUAUAACAAUUCCUAACCUUUGCUAUAGCUAAACACUGUUGCAUUACAAAACACUGAUUACAAACUCUGAUGAUCCAAUCCUCUGAUGAGCUCUAUCCUCUGAUGAAGCUUUAGCAGACCUUCUUCAAAGGGUGAUCAGACCUUUGCUUCCAGCAGACCUUUGGUCUUUAUCAGCGGUUUAACUCUUGCAGACUUUAUGAACCAUCAGACUUUAGCUUCGUAGCAGACCUUAGAAGCAUUAGUUGUUUGAGGACUUGCCAUUGAAGGAAGAAAAUAUUCAAGCACUGUUAUUUGAAGGAUCAAAUGUUUGUAGAAUUAUUUUUCUUUCUAUCAUCUGUUCUCAAGGAGGGAUCCAUAUAAGCCAACAUGAAUUAUUUGAAUGAAUUUUCCUUUAUUUCUCAUAUUGGAUGAGAAGUGUAAACGCUUCUUUAAUUAACGGAAGUGGUUUUAUC
rnacentral:lncRNA from 1 species